GAUCCUGGCUCAGGAUGAACGCUAGCUACAGGCUUAACACAUGCAAGUCGAGGGGCAGCAUGGUCUUAGCUUGCUAAGGCCGAUGGCGACCGGCGCACGGGUGAGUAACGCGUAUCCAACCUGCCUUACACUCUUGGACAGCCUUCUGAAAGGGAGAUUAAUACAAGAUGUUAUCAUGAGUAAGCAUUUUCACAUGAUUAAAGGUUUACCCGGUGUAAGAUGGGAUGCGUUCCA
rnacentral:rRNA from 1 species